GGUUCCGUAGUGAAGAGGUUAUCACAUCAGACUCUGAAUCUGGGAUCACGAGUUCGAAUCUCGUCGGGACCU